UUAUAAUCAUAAUUAUGGUAUAUUUUAUAGUAUAUAUACAAGUUAUUAGUAUAUUGCUAUUCACUUCGAAACAAAUACAAAAGUUGAUAUGUAAAAAUAAAUUUUUAGGCUUAUUUAUUGUAUCAAAAUUUUUUAAAUUCGCAGAAUGCAGAUCUCGCUCUUUUUCCAUCUCGUUUCAAGCACUUGCUUGACAAACUCGAUAAAUAAUAAACCUCGAUGGAUUUUCUAUUUGUUCUUGCCUUUCGAAAAAUCGGAAAAUUAUAAAUUUUUAUUUUUUCUUUUCUUUCUUUUAUACGAAACUAUUAAUCCUCCACAUAAAUCUCAUUUCACAAAAAUUCCUUCGGGCUAAUCGAUCGUUAAAAAAGUCGUUCAUCGAUCAUUACGAACGUGUUCAGACCCACGUAUACGAUGGAAAAAACAGCUCUCUCCUUCGACGAUUGAUACGUCGUUUCCGCGAACGAGUCAUUCUCUCCUUCUCGUGAUUAAUAGACUUCGUGUGUAUACGGUAAUAAAUUAACGAUCGCGCGCCUUCCAUGUGUUAUUAUUUAAAAGGCACGAGAAGGAUAACGAGAACGACGUAAUUAACGAUAUUAUAAUUCCAAUAUAUAAACAUAACAUUGUACGCGCCACGCUCGCUCCGCUGUUAUUAUUACUUAGUCGAUCGCGACGAUUCACGGGAGACGGAUCGAAAUCACGAUCGUAGAAAUUAUUUAAUUAAUUUUAAAAAUUAUUCGAUCGAUUGAAACAAAUUUCAAAGUAGAGGCUUAGUUUUUUUUGUAACGAAUCACGUGAUUCAGAUCAGGAAAAAAAAAAAAAAUAAAGAAAAAGAUCGCGUAAUUAUCGCGCAUUUUGUUGUUAAAUUUGUUAUUAUGCUUGUCGUUUAAUGAGCAUGGAAUUGCUAUAAUGAUAAUUGCAAUAUUGUGUUUGGUAAAUUUGAUAACGCGUGUGCGAAUAACGCAUUGUUUUUUAUAUUUAAUUUUUAAAGGAUAGUUGGGAAUGUAGGAGAGAAAUUUGAUCGAGAAUGGAUGUGUGUAGAAAGAAAAAAAAUUUAUAUAUUUAAUUGGCAAAAGUUUCGUUAUAACGCAUAUAUUUUAUAUAUUUUAUAUCGCAGAAGUUUUUGUACAAAAAAAAUUUUUAUAAUGGAUAGGAGAGAUUGUAUAACCAGCGUUUAAUGUUUACAAAAAAAAAAGUGAUUUACAUCGAAUAUUAAUUACACAAAGCGGAUAAAAAGAAGAAUUUAAGUUAAUAUUUUUCUUAAGAGUGCAAAAAGAAGCUAGUUUCUUUUUUUUUUUUUUAUACAGAGAAAGUAAUAAGAAACUGUUUAAUGUUUAUAUCGAAAAUAUGGUAAAUUCCAUUUGCACGAACCUGUUCAAGAUAAGGAAAUUUAUACGGCCAAGUUGUUUAUGCAAUAACGGUUUUAAUUAUCUCCACUGGCUAUGAUUUUUUCAUUCAAUUAAUAAGAGUCCAUUUGCACAUGAAUACAUAAUAACGUAAUAUUUUACGAAGAAUUUGGAGGAAAAAAGCAAGAUCUUGCGUACGUGAUGUAUAAUUAUUUACUAAAUGAAGAAUUCAUUUAUUUUGCAACAGUGGCACAGUUUAAUAAAUUAAUACGGAUGAUCCUCCUCGAUUUUUUCGAAUUAAUUAAUUCCCGACCGUUCGUAAAUUGGGAAUUUGCCUUAAAUAGAAUUUUGUAAUUGAAAAAUAAAAAUAUGAAGCGAAUUAUAGAAUUAUUGGUCAAGGAUUUACGAAAAAGUAUUUAAAAAAGUAGCGUUCUCAAUUAACAAGCCAUUAAAAUCAACAAAAUUGUUUUUAAUGAAACUUUGAGCGAGUGUAUGGAGCAUAAUCGAUUAUAUAUAUUUUUUUAAUAUAGCUUUGCUUAAUUAAGGAGAUGGAGUAAAAUUUCAAAUUAUUAAAUAUCCAAAUUAUUCGACGCAACAUAAAUUUUCGAAUUAUUUAAUUCUUUACAAUAUAUAGAAAGACUUUGUUUAAAGCUCCAUCCGUAUUGUCUAAUAUUCAAUGUCUCGCUCAUUUUCCACUUCAAAAUUCUAUUUUAAAUUCACCCUUAACCACAAUUUCGUGCAAAAGUUUCUUUCUCGAAACUCUUAGGAAACCACGUUCCAAGAGAAAUGAUUACCGAACAAAGGUGGCCCGCCUAACUUCUAAUAUUGAGAGCUUGACACAUCGGGAAGUCAGUGGCUCGAAGCCAAGAGAGACAGAGACAGAGAGAGACAGACCUGCUCGUUCGCUGGACGAUGACCCUGAAUGUUCACCUAACGUUCCAUCCACAAUGAUUCGAUCCCCUCGAAUGAUCGAUCUCGAUCGAAUCGGGGAUCUGGAAAAUCGGAUCGAAGUAAUUCGUGCCACGGUGUCGCGUGAACCGUGACGCGUUUUCCCGGAUGAUCGGCCCCUUGGACUUUGUCACAAAGCGCUGGCCAAUGGCGAAAGUCGUUUUUGCAAAGUGAUCGUUCAUCGAGACGCGAUCGAUGCUUGGUAAAAAACGACGAAAAGAGGUAUAAAAAGAAAGGCGUUGGUUUCGAACCUAACUGACUGGCUCUGGCCGAACAAAGUCAAUUACAGGGAAUAACAUUGGUCGUACCGGAUGUACUGCUCUCUCUUUCUCCCCCUGUUGUUUUCUUGCUUUUAUUGGGUAGCCAGUUCUAAUACGAUUGAAGUAACUCGAAUUUCAAGAGAGAAGGUAAAAAAAAAAUCUUUGAAAUUAUAAAGGUUUCAUCUUGUUCGCGUUAUGGAAUGGUUGGUGAAUAUAUUUGGACAGUUUUCUUUUUUUAUUUCUAACGAAACUUUGGGAUGGUAAUUGGAUGGUAAUGUAAACGGGAUCGAUGGAAAUCAAAAUUCAAAAUUUCAACGCAUGUUCAUUGUGGGAAAUUUUAAAAUUAAAAAAAGAAAUUAAAUCAUAUUUUCGAGUUAUUAAUUUUCCAAGAUUUAAGUUUUUAAUUCAAAUAUCUAUGGAAGUAUAAUAGGAAUUUAAUUAUAAUCGUUACAAUAAAACAGUAUCGCGUAUUUUUCCUCAGUUUACCCUACUUAUGUAGUUUUGCUAUCGAGAUAUUUUUCGUAUAGUUAUCAGCGUGAAUUAUUCGACGAAUUAUACGCAUUGGAAUUUCUUCUACCAAGCGAAAAAGGCGUAAACGUUGGAUACGAGGGCAGCGAUAAUUAGCAGAGGAACGAGUGAAAAGAUAUUUUCACGAGAGACCAAUUUGCUAGGAAUCAUGAAGUUAUAAAAGGCGAUUAAGAGAAUCGCGAAACAGCGAUGGUGCAGAGGGCAGAGAUAUUACGGAAAAAUUGGAUUUGAGGAUUCGUGGAAAAAUGUCUUGCAAGUUAAAACCGUAGAUAAUUAAUUAGUCGACGAUAAUCCCGAUUCUCGUUAGUGAAACAACACGGGCUGUGCUUCUCUCGUGUCAAGGCUGUGUCUCAUUUUUCUCGAUUUGAUUUCGUCCUAGUAUUCCAUGGAAUGUUAAUAAUGUAUUAUAAUUAGAAUACUUUUAAUCUUGAAAAAGAUCAAUAAGUCUUUUCAGUGGAACGAGAUUUUUUCCUUAAUCGAAUCAAUUUGUUGUGACGUAUAAACAAAAUGGAAAUAAUAUUAAUCUCGAAGAAAAUAAAAAAAAAGAGCUUUAUCGAAAGCUUUUUUAAAUUUUUGAAGAGGAUUUUUUUUUUGGUGACAUUUUCGUCGUAACAUUUGAUUGUAAAAAUAUUCCGUCAUCUUGAAUAUUUUAUAAAAAAUUGGAUGUAGCAAAAAGUAACAAUAUUUGUAUAUUUGUUACCUGGACGAGAGCCUAAUUGUUUAAGGAGAAAAUAUUAUGCACGAUAAGAAAUCAUACAUUUUAUAUUGAAUUUUAUAAAACAAAGAAGAAGAAAUACUUGAGAGUAGUUUUAUUUCAUUUUAAUGAUCUUGAAAAAAAUAAAAUUAAUUUUAUGAUUCAUCUAAUAAAAUUGUUAAAUUAGU